rnacentral:rRNA from 1 species
CAAUAGCGUAUAUUAAAGUUGUUGCGGUUAAAAAGCUCGUAGUUGGAUUUCUGUUGGGAACGACCGGUCCGCCCAUUGGGUGUGCAUCUGGCUUGUUCUCGGCAUCUUCUUGGUGAACGUUGCUGCACUUGACUGUGUGGAGCGCUACCCAGGACUUUUACUUUGAGGAAAUUAGAGUGUUUCAAGCAGGCAUAUGCCUUGAAUACAUUAGCAUGGAAUAAUAAGAUAGGACCUCGGUUCUAUUUUGUUGGUUUCUAGAGCUGAGGUAAUGAUUAAUAGGGAUAGUUGGGGGCAUUCGUAUUUAACUGUCAGAGUUGAAAUUCUUGGAUUUGUUAAAGACGGACUACUGCGAAAGCAUUUGCCAAGGAUGUUUUCAUUGA